rnacentral:tRNA from 1 species
GGCCUGCUAGCUCAGUCGGUUAGAGCGUCGUGCUAAUAACGCGAAGGUCGUAGGUUCGAUCCCUGCGCAGGCCU